rnacentral:lncRNA from 1 species
AAUUGUGAGUGGAAUUGUUUCUCUGAUUUUUUUUUCAUUAGUAUAUAAGAAGGCUGCUGUGGUUUUGCAUGUUAAUUUUGGGUUCUUCCAUUUUGCUAAAAGUGUUUUGAAGACUUAAGUGUUUUCUGGUAGUCUUUAGGGUCUCUUAUGUAUAUCGUAUUUUCUCUUUUAUUUCGCUUUUAUUAUGUUGAGAUAUGUCCCAUCUAGUCUAGUCUCUGGAUUUUAUUAAAAGCCUCUGGAUCUAUUGAGAUGAUGUGUAUUUUCUAUCUGAAUCCAUUUGUAUGAAAUACUAUUCCUUCAUUUGCAUAUGUCGAGCCAUUCUUACAAUUCUGUAAUGAAACCACCUCCAUCUUGGUGAAUUAUGUUUCUGAUAUAUGGAAUUCAGUUUGCAGGUAUAUAGUUUUUGCAGCAUAUUUAUCAGGGACAUUGAUGUAUUUUGUUGCUGUGUCUUUAUCUGACUUCAGCAUUAGGGUAAUACGUGGUUUGUAGAAAAAGUUCAGUACAUAUCUUUCCUUGUUUCCAAUUUUAUAGAGUAGUUUGAGAGGCAGCAAUAUUAGUUCUUCUGUAGAGGUCUGGUAGAAUUUGCAUCCAUCUGGGUCUGGACUGCUUUUAUCUGGGGGAUGUUUUAUUACUGCCUCAGUCCCAUUGCUUAUUAUAAAUGUGUUUAGUUUUUCUCAUCUUCGUUUAAUUUGGUAUGUCAUAUGCAUCUAAAAAUUCAUCUAUGCAUUCUAUAUUUUCCAGUUUAGUUGAAUACAAGGUUUUAAGGUAUGCUCUUUGAUUUUCAAAAUUUCUUCUAUAUCUGUUGUAAUAUGUCCCUUUUGGUCUCUCUUUAUUUUUUAGAUUUAUUUAUUUUUAUGUUUAUGAGUGUUUUGCCUGCAUAUAUGUCUGUCUCUGUAUCACAUUUGUGCUAUGCCUGCAGAGACCAGAAGAGAGCCCUCUUGUGCUUUUCCUCCCUUGGUCCUGGAGUUACAGAAGUUGUUAACUACCUAUGCGUGCUGGAAACCAAACCCAGGUCCUCUGCAAGAGCAAUCAUUUCUGUUGACUGUUGAGCCAGCUUUCCAGCCCUUUAAUCUUAUCAGACAGGAUCUAUUCUUUCUUUGGUUACUUUAGCUAAUAAUUUAAUGAUCUUUUAAUAAUUUAAUGAUCUUUUUCAUCUUUUCAAAGAACCAACUCUUCCUUUCAUUGAUUCUCUCUGUCUCUCUUUGCCCCCUCCACACACACACACACACACACACACACACACACAUAUACACACACACACACACAUCCAUCUCAUUACUUUCUGCAUUCUGUCUACUGAAAGAAAUGGGGUUUAGCUUGUUUUUGUUUUUCCAAGCCUGUAAGGUAUACUGUUAUUAUUUGAGAACACUCUGAUUUUUUAGUGUAAGUACUUUUAGCUGUAAACUCUCCUCUUAGAUCUGCUUUCAUUGAAUCUCAUAGGCUCUAGUAUGUUGUGUUUUAAUUUUUUGUUCAAUUCUAGGAAUUUUUUUGUCUUGAUUUCUUCAGUAACCCAAUAAUACUCACCAUGUAUUUGUUCUGGAGUUCUUGUUGUUUGCUUCUAGUUUUAAUUCCAUUAUGAUGACAUAGACAAAAUUAUUUCAAUAUUUGUGUAUUGAUGCUGUUCUAUUUGAGUCUUUUGUAUGAUCUGUUUUGGAAAAAAGUUCUAUGGGCUGCAGAGAAGAAUAUUGAUUCUUCAGUGUUGGGAUGGAAUAUUUUGUGUUGGCAUCUAAUAGUCACAUUUGACUUAUGAUAAAUAACUCACAAUGUUUUUAUUUAUUUUUGUCAGGAUAUCCUGCCAUUCAGUGAGGUCAAGCUUUAAAGUCACCCACUAUUAUUAUAUUACAGUUAAUAUGUGGGUUUAUAUCUACUAUUUGUCUUAUAAAAUUGAGUGCACUCAUGUUUGGUACAAAUUCUUGUUUGGCCCUCUGUUGCU